GGACUACUGGGGUAUCUAAUCCCGUUUGCUCCCCUAGCUUUCGCGCCUCAGCGUCAGUGUCGGUCCAGGAAGCCGCCUUCGCCACCGGUGUUCCUCCGGAUAUCUACGCAUUUCACCGCUACACCCGGAAUUCCGCUUCCCUCUCCCGAACUCAAGCCAAGCAGUCUCCCGCGCCAUUCCCCAGUUGAGCCGGGGGAUUUCACGCGGGACUUACAAGACCGCCUACGCGCCCUUUACGCCCAGUAAUUCCGAACAACGCUUGCCACCUCUGUAUUACCGCGGCUGCUGGCAC
rnacentral:rRNA from 1 species